CCUACGGGUGGCAGCAGUGGGGAAUAUUGCACAAUGGGGGCAACCCUGAUGCAGCAACGCCGCGUGAGUGAGGAAGGAUUUCUGUAUGUAAAGCUCCAUCAGCAGGGAAUAGAAAAGAAGGUACCUGAACAAGAAGCCCCUGCGAACUACGUGCCAGCAGCCGCGGUAAUACGUAGGGGGCAAGCGUUAUCCGGAUUUACUGGGUGUAAAGGGAGCGUAGACGGACAGGCAAGUCAGAGGUGAAAACCCAAGGCUCAACCCCCGAACUGCUCUGGAAACUGUACGGCUGGAGUGCAGGAGAGGUAAGUGGAAUGCAUGGUGUAGCGGUGAAAUGCGUAGAUAUUAGGAGGAACACCAGUGGCGAAGGCAGCUUACUGGACUGUAACUGACGUUGAGGCUCGAAAGCGUGGGGAGCAAACAGGAUUAGAUACCCGUGUAGUC
rnacentral:rRNA from 1 species